rnacentral:rRNA from 1 species
GCAAGUCGAGGGGUAACAUAGAGUGCUUGCACUCUGAUGACGACCGGCGCACGGGUGCGUAACGCGUAUAGAAUCUACCCUUUACUGGGGAAUAGCCCAGAGAAAUUUGGAUUAAGACCCCAUAGUAUACUCUUAUGGCAUCAUAUAAGUAUUAAAGGUUACGGUAAAGGAUGACUAUGCGUCCCAUUAGCUAGAUGGUAAGGUAACGGCUUACCAUGGCAACGAUGGGUAGGGGCCCUGAGAGGGGGAUC